AGUACGCAUUCUACCUUUUCCUACAAUGAAUCCACCAGCAGAAAUUCCUGUACACAUCUUAUCAACAAAGAAUUUGAACCUCAAAGAGUGGCUCAAAGAGGUCAGGAGGCACCUUCAACACUUUUAUUGGAGAUCUCCUUGUCUAGAUCAUCAGAUUCUCACUGUGUUACCUAGGCUGCAGUGCAGUGGUGCGAUCUCAACUCACUGCAACCUCUACCUCCUGGGUUCAAGCAAUUCUCCUGCCUCAGCCUCCCAAGUAGCUGGGAUUACAGAGCUCAUGGUUUUUAAACAACUUGUGGUAAAAAUCUGGUGGAAAAGAUAACAACAGUAUAUGAUAUGGCAGAGUUGCACAGAAGAAUCAGAACAUUGUUUUAGAGAAACGUUGGGCAAUUAAUUAAGCCAGCUGAUUAAGUUUUAAAGGAGGAAGAUGGAACUUGGAGAAGACAUACAGGCUGAAGAAAAAAAAAUAUUUUGGAAGUGAUCAGCACAUUCUAAUUGACCAUGGAUGCUCUCUGCAUUCAUGUGGUAACCCAGGGAGAGUAUGGAGUGAAAAGAGGAUCACCAAAGAAACUUGGGGUAUCUCAACAUUUAGGAAGUGUGCAGAGAAGAUGAGAUCAUUAAAAUGUACCAAGAG
rnacentral:lncRNA from 10 species